CUUCUUGCCUUGAUGGUUUGUGUUGAGAAGUCUGCUGGUAUUCUGAUGGGCUUUCCUUUGUAUGUGAUUUGUUUCUUUUCUCUGACUGCUUGGAGAACUUUGUUCUUCUGUUGUGUUUCAGGAAUCCUAACAAUUAUAUGUUUAUGUGAGAUUUUUUUUGAUCAAGGCUAUUUGGAGUCCUAUAUGCCUCCCUUAUCUGUAUGUCAAGCUCUUUUCCCCUGCUUGGGAAGUUUUCUGCCAUUAUUUCUGUGGAGAGAUUUUUUUAUGUCAUCUCCAUUCUCUCCUGUUUCUUCAUUGAGCCCAAUCAGUCUUCUAUUAUUCUUCUUUGCAUCAUCUAGCAGGUGCUGGAUUGAUUCCUCAUGUUCCCUUAUAAUUUUGAAGCAAUUUUUCUUUUCCUGGUCACUAAUUGCAAUCUUAUCUUCUAUAUCUGAAAUUCUGUCCCCACAUUGGCUCAUUCUGCUGUGUAGACUUUCAAUGGAGUUUUUCAUGUCCUGGAAAUCUAUUUGCAUCUGUUUUAUGGAUUCCUUUUGUUUCUUAUGUUGGGAUUCCAUCAUGUUCCUGAGCUCCUUUCUAGAUUUAUUAAUCAUGACUUGUACUAGGGGCACAAUUUCUCCUGUUAUCUGAGCAAUUAUUUCUGAUUUCAUUUUUUCCAGAUCCCCUUUUGUUGCCAGUUCAGUGGGUCCAGGUGGUUGAGUAUCAAUGUGUUCCAUCUCAUUUCCCUUUGGGGUUGCUGUAGGUGAUAUGGAUAUCUGGUUUUGAGACUUACUUACAUGUUUUCUCAUUUCGACUGGGGUGGGGGCUUAGCGCCUGCACGGAUUACCUCCUCUGAGCUGGGUGAGAUGGGGCAGGGGCCAGGAGCACCGAUAGGGAUGGUGAUCCAAAAGCCCUUUCUUUUAGGCUGGGAGCAGCCGGAGCGAUGGUGGCUGGGAAUCCCCUUCCUCUGGACCAGGAGCAGUGGGAUGGCAGCUCAGAAGCCCCUCCCUCUGGGCCAGGAGCAGUGGGACAGAAGGUGGCCCAAAAGCCCUUUCCUCUCGGCUGGGAGCAGCAGGAGGGAUGGUGACCGGGAAGUCCCUUCCACUGGGCCAGGAACAACGGGACUCAGUACCUUGGUCUGUUGGUCUGGUGUCCUCUCUGUCUUUGUAGUGUGGAAUCAGGUGGCUGGCUGCCUGUCUGCAGUGGCGUGAUUCGGUGUCUUCCGUGUGACUCAGGACCUCGGUAGGGCAUGCACAGACCUGCCUGUCUGCAGCAGGCUGAUUCGGCGUGUGUUCCAUGCGACUGGGGACCUCGAGGAAGAAGAAAAAAAUAGAAAGUAUUCUCCUGAAGAAAUUCAGAGAAAAAGGCAAGAAGCAUUGGUUCGAAGAAUGGCCAAAGCUCAGGCAUCAUCUGUAAAUUCAGCUCCCAUUCAGUUUCUUCAAUGAAAUAUUAGCUAUGCAGAUUAGAGUUUAUUAAAUCAAGACUGGAGAAAGUACAGCACAAAUAGAAGUAUGCAGCACCCAAGCUGAACUAAAUCUAAGAUUUCUGAAAAAUAUCUGCUAAUUCCACAACUGGCCAAUUCCUGGCCUAAUGGCACAAUACCCUCUCAGAAAAGAGAACGGAAUAAGUCUUGGUUGAGUUUUGGAAUGAUCUCUGUAGUUUUUAAAGGCUCAUUGUUGAGUCUUCAUAGUGGAUGCAGCUACAACUAGCAAGAUGGCUGUGACUCCAAAGCCCUGGGCAGCAAUUCUGAUUCAUUUCAGGGGCUGGGAGUUCUACUUGAGUCCUGGAUGGAGCAGUAAAGGACACAGGCAAGGGCAACCUCUGUGUCUUAAGCAGCUUGUCACUACCAUUGGAUUCUCACAGGUCUUUGAAAGGAACUUUGUCUUGAAGAUUAUGUUCAGGUAGACACUGAAGCUAAGGUUUUCAGUGACCAAGGACUGCAUUGAGAGUCACAGGGCCAGAAGUUACCAUUUGGGAUCAAUACAAGUAUGAGAAAAACCCCAGAAUUGUGUUGGACAGGAGGACAAUACUGAGGAUGGAACCUAGGACCUGUACACUAAGCAAAGCUCUUGUUUUUUGUUUUGAGACAGGAUCUUGCUCUGUUGUUUGGGCUGGACUCAAACUUGCAAUCCUCUCUCUCAGAGGGUUAGGACUGCAAGCAUGUGCCACCACACCAGGCUGUGAUUUUAAAUAUUGAUUAUACUGUCAUCUGUGGAAACAGUUUGUAACAAGUGAUCUGUGGAAAUUAUACAGCAAAAUAUUAAAGGAUUUCACUCAUUUGUGCCAGAAAUUUCACAAGUAUUCUUUAGA
ensembl:lncRNA